GAUCGUGUGGCCCAGUGGUUAAGGCACGUGCUUCACAACGGAGGUCGCACGGGAUCGCAGGUUCGAUCCCUGCCACGAUCA
rnacentral:tRNA from 1 species